rnacentral:rRNA from 1 species
AUUGAACGCUGGCGGCAGGCCUAAAACAUGCAAGUCGAGCGAGCGGCGGACGGGUGAGUAAUGUCUGGGAAACUGCCUGAUGGAGGGGGAUAACUACUGGAAACGGUAGCUAAUACCGCAUACCAUCAGAUGUGCCCAGGUGGGAUUAGCUCGUAGGGGGGGUAACGGCUCACCUAGGCGACGAUCCCUAGCUGGUCUGAGAGGAUGACCAGCCAAACUGGAACUGAGACACGGUCCAGACGCCCACGUGAGGCAGCAGUGGGGAUGAUUGGACGAUGGGCGCAAGCCUGAUGCAGCCAUUCCGCGUGUGUGAAGAAGGACUUCGGGUUGUAAAGCACUUUCAGCGGGGAGGCGUUACCCGCAGAAGAAGCACCGGCUAACUCCGUGCCAGCAGCCGCGGUAAUAC